ncrna:unclassified sequences uup RNA
AGAAGAUCUGCUCUGUACAGUCCGUUCCGAUGAAACAUUGUGCAGAGC